rnacentral:rRNA from 1 species
CGGUAAUACGUAGGGUGCGAGCGUUAAUCGGAAUUACUGGGCGUAAAGCGUGCGCAGGCGGUUUUUUAAGAUAGGCGUGAAAUCCCCGGGCUUAACCUGGGAACUGCGCUUAUGACUGGAAGACUAGAGUACGGCAGAGGGGGGUGGAAUUCCACGUGUAGCAGUGAAAUGCGUAGAGAUGUGGAGGAACACCGAUGGCGAAGGCAGCCCCCUGGGCCGAUACUGACGCUCAUGCACGAAAGCGUGGGGAGCAAACAGGAUUAGAUACCCUGGUAGUCCACGCCCUAAACGAUGUCAACUAGGUGUUGGGUGGGUAAAACCAUUUAGUACCGUAGCUAACGCGUGAAGUUGACCGCCUGGGGAGUACGGCCGC